CGGAGGAAAAGAAACUAACAAGGAUUCCCCUAGUAGCGGCGAGCGAACCGGGAGAAGCCCAGCUUGAAAAUCGCGUCGCUUCACGGCGCGAGUUGUAGUCUGGAGAAGCGUCCUCUGUUGCGGACUCGGCCCAAGUUCCCUGGAAAGGGACGUCAGAGAGGGUGAGAACCCCGUCGGGCUGAGACCCUGCAGCUCCACGAGGCGCUGUCGACGAGUCGGGCUGUUUGGGAAUGCAGCCCUAAGCGGGAGGUAAAUUCCUUCCAAGGCUAAAUACAGGCGAGAGACCGAUAGCGAACAAGUACCGCGAGGGAAAGAUGAAAAGGACUUUGAAAAGAGAGUUAAAAAGUGCUUGAAAUUGCUGGGAGGGAAGCGAAUGGAGGCCUCGUGUGCGCCCCGGUCGGAUGCGGAACGGCGCGAGCUGGUCCGCCGCUCGACGCGGGGCGCUGGUCAGCGUGGGCUGGUUCGGCGGGACAAAAGUCGGGCUUCAGUGCCCGGCCGAUGCCGUCGGACCGGCCGAGGGAUCGAAGCGCGCGUCCUCAACAGGACGGGACCCCCCGGGGUCACCUGCGCGCUCGAGACGCUGCGUA
rnacentral:rRNA from 1 species